GGGUAUGAGAUCAACACGGACCGCUGCCAGGGUAGAGGAAGCACAAAGUUCAUCAGGAGUUAGAGGCUCAUGUCCGUGUCCCCCUCCAGUUCCCGUUCCCCACGAGCCCUGUGCAGUCACAUCCAGUGGAGCAUUAAGCACCCACAUUUAUCUCCCCGCUCCCUCUAGCUCUUUGGCGGCAGCCUCCCACUGACUACCCAAGGCACAGCCCUCCCACCAUAUGGCCCAGGGCUCACAUUCCAAGGGAAGCCCACCUGAUUUUGCUUCAGACUCUUCCCCCCCCAGGAGCAAUCCGAGCUGCAGUGUGCUGAGAGAGAGGCCCAGAGCCCCUCCCCAGGCCCCAGACCCCCUACCAGGAGAGCUUUAGAAGGUUCUGGUCCUCUUCAACCUUCCCUUCUUCCUGGGAAUCUUCUCUCCGCCCACUCCAGGGAAACCUGGGUUGGCUAGGAGAGGGGAUGGGGGCUGGACAGGAGGAAGGUGACAAGGAUCACAGAUGGCCUGGAUGUUUGACCAGGUCCUGGGGAGAGAAGACUGCUUGGAUAUGCAGCACCAAACCCAGAGCUCCAGAAUUGAAGUUCUGGAAUGAGGUGCUUUGCAGCCAGACCUUUGGACCUUUGGAGCCUGUGGUCAGCCCCAGGGAGGCCUCCAGAUGUUCUCAGACCAUCCGAGCCCCAAUCCGCUUGCUUAGACAGCUCUUGCUGCCCAGGGGUGGGAAGGAACCCCGGAGUCCGACCACCCCCAGAGCUCGCUUGCUUCCCACUGCCCCAGGGAUCUAGGUGACCUUCCUUUACGUCUCCUCUCCUGUCUUUCUGAGUAGAGGCUGCAUAUUUCUCAAUGGGGAAGUAAAGGUGUGAAACAGA